rnacentral:rRNA from 1 species
UGGGGAAUAUUGGACAAUGGGCGAAAGCCUGAUCCAGCCAUGCCGCGUGUGUGAAGAAGGUCUUCGGAUUGUAAAGCACUUUAAGUUGGGAGGAAGGGCAGUAACCUAAUACGUUGCUGUCUUGACGUUACCGACAGAAUAAGCACCGGCUAACUCUGUGCCAGCAGCCGCGGUAAUACAGAGGGUGCAAGCGUUAAUCGGAAUUACUGGGCGUAAAGCGCGCGUAGGUGGUUUGUUAAGUUUGAUGUGAAAUCCCCGGGCUCAACCUGGGAACUGCAUUCAAAACUGACAAGCUAGAGUAUGGUAGAGGGUGGUGGAAUUUCCUGUGUAGCGGUGAAAUGCGUAGAUAUAGGAAGGAACACCAGUGGCGAAGGCGACCACCUGGACUGAUACUGACACUGAGGUGCGAAAGCGUGGGGAGCAAACA